UACGUAGGGUGCAGGCGUUAAUCGGAAUUACUGGGCGUAAAGCGUGCGCAGGCGGUCUGCUAAGUGAGGUGUGAAAUCCCCGGGCUUAACCUGGGAACUGCGCUUCUAACUGGCAGGCUUGAGUGUGGCAGAGGGGAGUGGAAUUCCUCGUGUAGCAGUGAAAUGCGUAGAGAUGUGGAGGAACACCGAUGGCGAAGGCAGCCCCCUGGGCUAACACUGACGCUCAUGCACGAAAGCGUGGGUAGCAAACAGG
rnacentral:rRNA from 1 species